UUGAUCAUAUUUUAUAGGAUCCUUUAUAGUGCGAUUUCCCGGGGUUUUUGGGCCCAAAAUUUCGAAUAAUUCAACCCCGAUGAGGGACUGUUAGGGGAAUCCUCUGAGCGGGAAGCGGCUCAAGUGUUUGCUUGAGAGUUUUUGAUGACCCUUUUUUGACCGGUUUACCGUUGGGAGGGGACAACAGGCUGAGUGGU